rnacentral:ncRNA from 2 species
AUUGUGCACUAGGGGAGCUGUUAAGGCUGAGAUGAAUUUAUUCAGACCCUUGAACCUGCACUGGGUAAUGCCAGCGAAGGGAAGUGAGAAGUAAUAUGA